GAUGAACGCUAGCUACAGGCUUAACACAUGCAAGUCGAGGGGAAACGAUAUUGGAAGCUUGCUUCCGAUAGGCGUCGACCGGCGCACGGGUGAGUAACGCGUAUCCAACCUGCCCACCACUUGGGAAUAACCUUGCGAAAGUAAGACUAAUACCCAAUGAUAUCCCACGAAGGCAUCGGAAUGGGAUUAAAGAUUUAUCGGUGAUGGAUGGGGAUGCGUCUGAUUAGCUUGUUGGCGGGGUAACGGCCCACCAAGGCAACGAUCAGUAGGGGUUCUGAGAGGAAGGUCCCCCACAUUGGAACUGAGACACGGUCCAAACUCCUACGGGAGGCAGCAGUGAGGAAUAUUGGUCAAUGGGCGAGAGCCUGGACCAGCCAAGUAGCGUGCAGGAUGACGGCCCUAUGGGUUGUAAACUGCUUUUAUAAGGGAAUAAAGUUAGUCUCGUGAGACUUUUUGCAUGUACCUUAUGAAUAAGGACCGGCUAAUUCCGUG
rnacentral:rRNA from 1 species